rnacentral:rRNA from 1 species
GACGAACCGUGCGAACGUUGUUCGGAAUCACUGGGCUUAAAGGGCGCGUAGGCGGGCUCACAAGUCAGGGGUGAAAUCCCACGGCUCAACCGUGGAAGUGCCUUUGAUACUGUGGGUCUUGAGGGAGGUAGGGGCGUGCGGAACUUCCGGUGGAGCGGUGAAAUGCGUAGAUAUCGGAAGGAACACCGGUGGCGAAGGCGGGUCUCUGGGCCGAUACUGACGCUGAGGAGCGAAAGCGUGGGGAGCGAACAGG